CAAUAUUUGAAUUUGAAUUCAAAUGGUUUUGACUUUAUAAUUGCAAGACUUGUUUUCACUUGGAUGUGGUGUUGGUAAGAAUAUAGAGAGGAACUAAAUGGGAGAGUUCAUUUGUCCGGUGAUAUUCUUGGUCGCUUCCAGCGGUUCUCUCGAUUAUCCAUUGCCAUUUUCGUGAAUGACGGUACAUGAUCUGGUGUGGCACAAAUAUGAAGAAGCUUUAGGUCGAUUGGUUCGAUUUUUACACUUUGAUAGUUUAUGUUCCCAUUGUAGUUGUAAAUGUACGCUACAUUAUAAACUCGACAAAUAGCUUUUAUUUUUUUUCUUCCAAAAGGAUUAUUCCUUUACCAUUAAAUUGCAAUAAUUCAAAUUGAGAAGCCCAUGGUAGCAAACAAUGUUUUGCAAAAAAACCAAUGGAUGUAUAUUUGCUUUUCUAGAUGACACACGAUGAUAUCACAAGAAGUAAAUGUCACAAUUGUAAAUUCAAGGGGGCGUGUUAGAACUUGAAAAUUCGAGCUGUUGCAACCUAGGAAACACCAUCGAGUUGCCAACGAAAAAGUUCUCUUUUUUAGCUUCCACCACCAAGGCUAUAUUUGCUUCCACAAUGCAUCAAACUGAAAACCAACACCACCACUGUCGCCUCCACUGUCGAUCGUCCAGAAAAUGAGUUUAAAGAUUUGGGUGACCUUGUUUUUGACCAAACCCAAGCCUCUUCAACUUCCAAUCCGAUUUUCAGGUUCUUGAAACACUUUUUAUCACUAGCCUAAGUUUUGAUACCAUUUGUAGAGUUUUAUAAUGUAGUAUACAAUAAUUAUUACAACUACAAUGCGAAAAAUAAAUUUUCAAAGUUUACAAAACCCGAACCAACCGACUCAAGUCUUCUUCAACCUCACCACCAACGUGGUUUGUAUCGUUGAGCUUAGAUUUUUGCCAAAUGGUAUCAUGCACUUUCAUCCAUAGAAUCUGCCGGAGAAAUUUCCACCGGAGAAAUUAUCUCACAGUUAAUGCGUUUGUCUCUUAUAUUGGUUAGUAUUUGAUUUUCAUGUUUUGUUGUUAAUGCACAGGAAGCAGCAGCUGAAAACAAGAAGGAAGCUAUGACAAAUGGAGCUCUCUACCUAAUCAGAAAGCCACUAUCAAACCGAAAAAGCCCGGGGAGAUUAUUAAAGUUAGUCCAGAUACUGAAGAAAUUGUUGAGAAAGAUAAGGCUCAGAAGAAAGACAAUGUCAAAACCAAAAAACCCGAAGAGAUUAUCAACAUUAGUCCUGAUACUGAAGAAGUUGUUAAGAAAGCAGAGCCGAUGAAACAGGAAAAGGCUGGAGAAGGGUCAUUGAAGAAAAAAGCUCCAACUUUGACAUUGACUUUUUGCGCGGUUGCCUUUAAAUUUUACUAUUUAGCAUCUUCUUUCUUCAGACAGCCCUAAAUUAAUAAAGAACGAGGCUUAGUGUUUUUAUUGCUGUGGUUGUCUCGUUCCAAUAUGCAGGCUGCUUGUGGCCUGAGUAAGAAACCGAAGGAGCAAAUAGCUAUAGAUGCCGCAGAUGUGUAUGUUGAAUAUGUCGAAGAAAUAUACAAGUUUUAUAAGUCUGUUGAGGUAUACAUACAUAUUAUACUGGUUCGUAUUUUGGUUUCUCCAUAACUUUAUUUGUCCUGUAUCCGAUGGAAAUAAUUAAUGACCAGAAUGAGAACCGAGUUAACGAUCACAUUGAUUCACAACCUGAGAUAAAUGAAAGAACCCAGAAUGAGAACCGAGUUAACGAUCACAUUGAUUCACAACCUGAGAUAAAUGAAAGAAUGAGAGCACUCUUUGCCUGACAAUCAACAUUCUUGAUCGAUAUCUUGCUAUGAAGACUACAUUAAGGAGGGAACUGCAGUUGGUGGGGGCAUCAAUGCUAUGCUUAUAGCUUCUAGAUAUGAAGAAAUUUGGGUUCCCGAGGUCGACAAAAAUUCGUUGUAAUGUACUCAAGUGUGCCUUCACAACCUUAAAUAUGAUCAUUCUUUUGCAGGUUAAUGAUUUAGUGUGCAUCUCAGACAAAUCAUUUUCUAACCAGCAGAUCUUGUGUAUGGAAAACGAAUUCUCAGUGAAUUGGAAUGGAACUUAACAGUUCCGACAUUAUAUGUAUUCCUCUUGCGCUUGAGAUUCUGAUGUAAGUAUUCUUCAACUUGAGUAAGGUUAAUAAGAUUUCUAGACUUGAUUAAGUAAAAUAACUCGUAUGCGGUCUAUUUCGUCCCGAGCUGCCUCAGCAGUUUAGAGAGCUCCCUUCUGGAAUGCGACUCUUAAACUGCAACUUAUAUCACAACCUGAAGAUGAACUAUGGAAAAUACUCGAGCUGCUGCACUCCUACCACCGAGUGAGAAAAAAGCUUCAUUUUUUCAGAGGAUCAUUCUUUGGGAUCUGCUGAAUCGUUUUCAACAUUUGGGAUUAAUAAACAAGCGGUUUUGGUUGCAUUGUAAUAUGUUGUUAAUAUUUAAAUUUUCGAAUUUUCUCAAUUAGCACCACCGUAGUUGAAUGUUUUCGUAAAAGUUUCUAGAAAUGUAUAAGCGGCCGACGAACCCAACCAACAAGUGCUAAACUAUUUUCAA